UACGGGGGGGGCAAGCGUUGUUCGGAAUUACUGGGCGUAAAGGGCUCGUAGGCGGCCAACUAAGUCAGACGUGAAAUCCCCAGGCUCAACCUGGGAACUGCGUCUGAUACUGGAUGGCUUGAAUCCGGGAGAGGGAUGCAGAAUUCCAGGUGUAGCGGUGAAAUGCGUAGAUAUCAAGAGGAAUACCUGAGGUGAAGACGGGUUGCUAGGCCGACACUGACGCUGAAGCGCGAAAGCCAGGGGAGCAAACGGG
rnacentral:rRNA from 1 species